CUGUACUACAGGCACAAUCCACUCCACACUGCCCUGGAGAGGCUGAGCAGGAGUCUCACUGUUACUGCGUCAGAGUGGAGAGAGAGUGUGUAUGGAGCUGAAGUGAAAAAGGAAGAAGAGGAAGAAGGACCAUCAGAGCUGGAAAGAGUACAGAAAGAGCUGCAAUAUUUAUCAGAAAGAGAAAGAGCUUGUGAAUAAAAGGUGUUUGUGGGAAAAACAAAUCAUCAUCUGCCACUGGUACACUUACAGAACCAUCUGCUAAUAGAAGCUACCACUGUAUGAAAAGGACAGUUUUUUAUGCUGCAGAUUGUUUUCUGCAUCAUUAAUUGGUCUUGGUUCCUUUGUGCUAUUGACUUUAAUUCGAGAGGGUGUGUUUAUGUGUGGAGAGUUGAUGGGGAGGGGGAGAGAGAGAGUGAGAGACAUGAGCUGGGUUUAGAGUGAGCUGUUACAGGAAAAACUCCACUUAUGUAUGGAGUGGCUGUUUUGUCGACAACAGAUGGAAAAUAAACCACGAUGCCCUAUGCGAAA